UAAAAAUAAAAGAUGUAGAAUAUAUUAGGCUUCAUAAUCAUUUAAAUAGAUGCAUGUAGUUUAUUUACCUUCUCGGUGAGAACUAACAACCAUUGAAAGCAAAUAGGUCUUUAGGAAAACUAUAUUGGCAAAAUGAGAUUAUUUAAAUUAAGAUUUCCAGUUCACUAGCUUAAGUUACUUUUACAUUUAUGAUUUAGGCUCUGAUUUAAAUCAUACUUUGUACUGUUAGUGUUCAAAAUUUAUCAUCAACAUUGAAGCUGUGAACACAAAAGACGUUCUUGGCAAGACUUGUGGAAUGCAAUGUCAGUAUAUUUCUCUGGAAUACUAAAAAUUUAGAAAACAAAACCUUUCUCAUGACUCUUAGAACUUUUGAUGUGUGUGGGGGGAAAACCUUGACAAGAUAAGCUGCGAACGGUAGUAUUUUAGUCAACAGAGUAAUGGGUGGCUGUUCCAGUGGCCUGAAAGGGGCCAAGGGCAGAGUAGAGGUACUGCUGACACAUGGCUCUGUGGUCAUUGGUGUUUUUAGAAGGGAAGGAAUAUUUGUAAAGAUUUUAUUGAAUAAAUAGCAUCAAUCUCUUCAUCAAAUAUAAAAGGACUGGUAAUGUUUGCUGUUGUUUUUGUUGAUUAGGAGAAAUACCAAGAAAAAUUGUUCUGCAUUAGCAGCAGAAAUACUGCGGAGUGGAAAGGACUUCCUAGAGCUUUUUAUUCAUUUAUUGUUCUGCUGAGCAAUUAGAGAAACAAAAUCUCUUUACACCAUUUUUACACUUGACAGAUUGGCGUUUGUUUUUCUCUGUUUAAAAAACCCCCAGCAAGCUGAGAUUUUCUUCAGUAAGGAAGGAAGUUUAGACCAAAAUUUCCAGAAUUUGUGAGUCUUAUUCUUGUGUUACCACAGCUGGGAAUACGAAGGGGAAGGUGUGGGCUUCAUGUGAAAGUUGUGGGGAGCCUUGUAAGCUGUGCAAGGCUGUAAAUCCUCAAAACCACCUCUGCUUCUCAGCAGUUUUCCAUGGAUCCUGGUGCAGCCAGGGUGCAGUGUGGUCCCAGGGGUGGGGGAGCCAUAGGUGGUGCUCAGGUGGGUGCAUUGAGAACAUGGUGCACUUACUCUCUUGCUUGAUCUCUUUCAGAUGAUCAAAGACAAUGGACUGCUCACUCUUUUCACAGGACCCAUAUAUGCUCAAGGUUUUUCCAGAAUUAAAUGCCUGUGAAAUCAGGAGCAGAAGAAUGGCUCUGGGCAUGGACUUACUAGCCCUUCACUUGCCUUUAGGAAGUGGUGUAAACAGGGAUCUGAUUUGCAUUCGUUAAGAAGUGGCAAUUUCAGCUUUAAAUAAUGAUGCUUUAAAUUGUGAUUUGCAUUUGUAUCUUUUAAGGAGUAAAUACCAGAUUGCAUACGUAGUUUUGUACCUUCCUUUUUUCAUUCUUCCUCAGAAUAUCUUGGAAUAGAAUAACCUCUAAGUUGUUACUGUGGCUUAUUGGCACCACAUUUUGAAACCCGAGUUCAAUAAUCAUAUUUCCUAUCCUCUCAAAAAAAAAAAAAAAAAAAAAAAAAAGGAAAAAGAAGGAAAGAAAUCCAUUAUUUGCUGAAUUGUUCAAAAUGUUGUUUGGAUCAUUUUGUGUGUACCCACUUCAGUGACCAGAAUGUCAAUGGAAGCUUUGUUUAAAUCUUUUUCUUUAUUUUUUUUCCUUCCAAUCCCACCCACACAUACACCUGUUCAUCUAAGUCUUUUGGGCCAGAUAUCAGUUUAUUUGGUUGGGCUUUAUGGCUUUUUUUUCCUCCCUCCUGCUUCAUUCAGUUAACUGCUUGUUGUCAGUUCUGGCACAUCCCCUUGUUUUCUGUGUGCUGCCCAUGGAAAAAAGGCUUGUUUCCAAAGGCAAAGAGGUAAUCUGGCUCGGAGUUAGAUUAACUGUUGCAGUAGCUCAUGAUAAACAUCUGUUGCAAUACUCCCAGAUGAGAACAUUGCUUUCAAAACUGUUUACGGCACAUUUUGAACCGUUCACUUUACUUGUGGUUUUAUUUUUUUCCCCCUCCAAUUACUAAAUUCUUUUGAAAGGACAUAAAUCCAUAGAGUCCAUCUUGGAGACUGUGUUUGUUUUGUGAUACAGACAAGGAAAUGUGGUUACUGAGUUACUGUUCAUGUGGUGGAGCCCCUGAAUAUUUCUGACUGGAGCACAGAAGCGUGUGCAUUCCUUAAUAAAAUCCAACUGCGGAGCAGGCCCCUGGGAGUGCUGCUGUGUGUCCGUGCUCUGCCUGUGGUGGAUGUUUUCCUCCUGCUCUGAAUUUGGCAAGAUAAGACUGGCGGGAAGUGGAGUUUAGCUUGGAUCUGAAACCAAGGGUGGGUGUGUGGUUGGAAGGGUUUGGCCAACUGGGCUUGGGACUUUGCCAUUGAGGAAACAUUCUGCUAUUUGUUUGGAAUAAUUUUUAAAUUUUGUUUGUUUGUCUUAUACAUUUUUUUAAAAAGUAUUUUAAUUCUAGAUUAAAUGGAUCACAUAAUGACAGUUUCUCCUGCAGUUGGCUUUUGAAGUUAGGUCUGCCAGCAGCCAUUUACUGCUGUAGCUGAGAAUCAGCAAGCAAACAAAGCAAGCUUUGGUAGGUUUUCCCAAAACAUCAACAACCUUCUUCCCCACCCCACCCAAACCACAAAACCAAACCAUUCUUGGUGUCUCUGGGAAAAUAACAUUGGAAAACAGUAUGGAAUACCUCAAAUGGUGUUUUCCAAAAAAUCGUUUUUCUUUCUUAUGUUAAUAAGUACGAUGCUCUUAAUGUAAUAGUGUUCCAAGUCUUUUCACCCAUAAUUUCUCAGAAGUUGAAAAGUGUUUCGUGCUGAAUUUCAUAUCUAAAUGUUUCCUAUCACAAUUAAAGAAAUCAGCUGGGUAGUUUGCAUAUGUGUUGAUGUUCACCAGAAGUAACUCUUUUUGCAUAGCAGUCUAACAAACAUAAAGAAAGGAGAUUUCCAAAUACCAAAGCUACUUGUAGUAAAAUACAAGAGUCUGUAACUUUAUUUCUUGCUGAUUUUCUUAGGUCUGGCAGAACCCAUGUUGUUUUAGCAAUAAAUCUGUAAGAACAGCUGUUCUGAUUCAGAACAAGCACUUAUAAUUCAAUAUCCUGUCUCUGAUGGUGAUCAGCAGGUAUCUAGGGAAGCAUACAAGCACAGUGAUAAAGUGAUGGAAUCUAAGGUGAGAUUUCUUAGUUUACCAGUUUUAUGGUGGUAUCAGGAUUUUCAGAAUCUGCUUCCUAAUCAUAAUGUUGAAAUGACAGGUGUGAGACACUUAACAGCCUCGGCUUUCUCUUAAAGACUGUGAUAGUGAUAGGACGAUAAAAAAAGGAAAAAACCCUGAGAAAUAAUGGAUGGUAUGUAAAAGAAAGAGAAAUGAUGGGACAGGCUGGGAAAAAGGAAAAAAAGGAGCCAUAAUUACUGCAUAGUGUAAAGAAAUGGCAGAAGAAGGUUGGUUUGUUACCCAGGAGAUGAUACCCUUCUGCACUGGAGCUCGCUGAGACCUUGGCCUGGCAGGUUGAGCCAUCACCUGCAUCACAUCACUGGGACACAGGGGAGAGAAAGGCAAAACCAGGAUAUGGAGAAAUCAUUGGCCUGAACCAGUUUUGAGGCAAGAAAGAUGGUAGAGGGCAGACAAAUUAAGUGUGGGAGAAGAAGCACAUGGGAAGGGGAGCAUGAGUGAUGGGAGUGUCCAAGAAACCUGCAUAAACUGAAUUAUUGUCUGUCUGUAAAUAUCUGUCCAUUCAAAUUGAUGAAUAAGAAAUGUCUGUGUAGAAAAUUUGUUUUGCAGGUUUGUACUGACACCCUUGGAGCACUGCUGUAUUUUUCCCAGGCUUCAAGACACCCAGGUUUUAUUUUUAGUGCUGCCCUGGGUUCUGUUUUGUGGUGAACCUGUUCCAGCUUGCUGCAGUCAUUACUACUAAGACCAUCUAAAUAGCAACUCGAAAAAACUAUUAAAGCAAUGUAAAUCGUAAUAAAUUAUUUUGGCUUUGUAUGGAUUAAAAGGUACACUUAGGAUGGACUUGGUUUUGGAUCAGGUUUUUUAAUGCUCUAGAGCAAAAGCGUGACAAGCCUUACAUCACUGGUGUGCAGAGGUGAUGGUGCUGUACUUUAAAUAACAGACACGAGGGCGUUGUGACUGGGAUAUUGUCACUGUAGCACUCACUUAAAAGUCGAUUUUUAGGGAAGCUUUUGCAAAGGUGUAUGGAAAACUGCUAUUGACUAUCUAAAGCGAAUUCAAGAAUAAUAUCCAGGAGGUGUUGCAGUAGAUGAGGAGGUGUUAAAGCGAACUGCUCACCAAAAUAAGUCAUACUGUAAGCUAGGAUCAAACCUUGCAAAACCAGGGUUUAUUGUGUGUAUAAGAAUGAAGCGGAGAAGACGCAUUUGAGUACAAAAGGGCAAAACUGAUCUUGAAUUUAAACACAAUUUACAUAAUCCUGCAAACAAGAAGAGGGGUUGGUACAACCAGAAUAAGUGGCUGCUUUGUGGUACCUUACAGAAAGGACAGCUUCAUCUGUGGAUAAAGACCAGGCAAAGGAGAUUUAUCAGCUCAUAGACAAGAGAGAAACAAAAGGAAGAUACAGAAGAGAAGUUGAAGAAGAAAGGAAAGAAAGAGGAGAAAAUAGUGGAGAAAAUCAGAACAGAGUUGGCUUUUCUAAAAGGAGUUGUCCAGGAAGCAAAAUGAGCAGCUUCCCUCCUCUUUUUUUUUCUGUUUUUAGCCCAUCCCAGAUACUGCAAUUCUGAGAUAAGUGGGUCAGGCAAAAGGGCAUAAUUAAUAGUGAUUUCACGGUUGCUGUGGGUAUGGGAGAGCAUAGUGGGAAGAAUAGAUUCAAGGAAGGGUUGGCAGGCUCUCAAUGGAAAGCUCCCAGCUGCGCCCCAGGUUGCCAUGCCUAUCUUCUGCCAUAAGAUUCUGAGCUGUGCCAGCCAGGUGGGAGCUGGAUCAGAGUGGGAAUAGAGCAGAUGGAUGCUCUACUGGAUGCUCUAGUGGAUGAAGUGCAGCACAUCUUAAGUACACUGAAUUUAGUAUGGGACAGGAUCUGUUUGUAAGAGCAGCUGGGAAGAGGAUGGAUCAACCCUUUGAAAAGCAUUGUGGGGAAACAAAGAGCUAAAUACCCUGACCAGGGGCCAUAAUGGGGCAUAAUUUUUUUUUUGUCAGAUAGUGUGAGUUUUACUACUAAGGAGCAAUUCCUCUGGCCCACAUGCAACUCCAGUUUCUCUUACCCUGCAGGGCUUUGUUUCCUCUGGUUGGUGAUGAUGUAGCAUCAGCGAGGCUUGCAUGGGAUGUCGUGCCCGUGGUCCAAGGAGAGCAAUCUGUGCAUUUCUGCUGAGAGAUUAACUUGAUUUUAACAUCUGGCGAUGAGAGCUACAUGCAGCAAGUUAGAGUUUGAAGAUGCCGCUGCAGAGAAACUUCUUCAAACAGAUGUAGUGCCGUUGCUGUCACAGAAGAUGGAAGGACUUGCGUUGUUCAAAUCCAGUUUCUGCAAACUUUAAUUUUAUUUGCUUUUCUUUUCCUGAUGGAGCUGGGUUACUAUGAAAUAGCCAUGCUGUGUCCUGGUCAGGGGAUGGUGCCGUAUUUUUGGAUGCUCCUAAAGCCCUGAUGGGUCUUUCCGAGUUCUGGUGCCCUGUCUGCUCUUGAGCAGGUGGAGCCUCUUGGAUUACUAUUCCUGAAUCUCUGUGCUUGGAUUACACAUGCCCAACAUCACCUGCUUGUGUUGUCACCGGGGCCUGCAAGAAAAGCUUUUCUCUUGUUGAAGAGAAAUGCCUGAACAGGAGCUUUUUACAUUCCUAUGGCACAUUCAACUUGGCCACUUUGGAAAUUCACGUGGUGGGAGCAGCAUGUCCUGGUUGCUAUAAAGAUUCACUUCAUUCAGCUGGGACCUUUCAGGGCCAGCUCUUUGGAGACCACUGACCGGCAGCCCUUGCUGGAGAUGGGUUGGUUGUGAGGUUGGACAUCGUGCUUGCAAAAGAAAGGCAAUGUAUGGGAUGGGCGCUCCCUGAUGCAGAGUGGGAGUGCAACACCUUGGGAAGACGAAUGUAUUUUUUUGCCUCCAGAAAAACAGUAAAUUCAUGCUUUUAGAUCUAUAAAAGUGCAUGUGGGUACCAGCAUAUUGCAGAAUAGUUGGCUAUGUACAUCUUGUGGUUUCAGCUCUUGCACGCAGAGGAUGAAGCAGAGGGGUUAGGCUUUUAUUUUAGAUCAAGUCUAUGUUUCAGAUUUAAGGACAUAUUAGUAAACUUCAUCUUGCCGUUUCUCCAUAUGGGUUUGAAUUUUAUGGUAUUGAACCUUUGUCCUUUUCAUGAAAAUAAAAAGACUGUUCUCUCUGUGGCUA